CACGAACCGUACGAACGUUAUUCGGAAUUACUGGGCGUAAAGGGCUCGUAGGCGGCCAACUAAGUCAGACGUGAAAUCCCUCGGCUUAACCGGGGAACUGCAUCUGAUACUGGAUGGCUUGAGUUCGGGAGAGGGAUGUGGAAUUCCAGGUGUAGCGGUGAAAUGCGUAGAUAUCUGGAGGAACACCGGUGGCGAAGGCGGCAUCCUGGACCGACACUGACGCUGAGGAGCGAAAGCCAGGGGAGCAAACGGG
rnacentral:rRNA from 1 species